rnacentral:rRNA from 1 species
UACAGAGGUCCCAAGCGUUGUUCGGAAUCACUGGGCGUAAAGGGUGCGUAGGCGGUAUGGUAAGACUUGGGUGAAAUCUCCAUGCUUAACGUGGAGGGAGCCUGGGAGACUGCCGUGCUAGAGGAUUGGAGGGGAGACUGGAAUUCUUGGAGUAGCAGUGAAAUGCGUAGAUAUCAAGAGGAACACCAGUGGCGAAGGCGAGUCUCUGGACAAUUCCUGACGCUGAGGCACGAAGGCCAGGGGAUCAAACGGGAUUAGAUACC